AUACGUAGGGUGCAAGCGUUAAUCGGAAUUACUGGGCGUAAAGCGUGCGCAGGCGGUUUUGUAAGACAGUGGUGAAAUCCCCGGGCUCAACCUGGGAACUGCCAUUGUGACUGCAAGUCUGGAGUGCGGCAGAGGGGGAUGGAAUUCCGCGGGUAGCAGUGAAAUGCGUAGAUAUGCGGAGGAACACCGAUGGCGAAGGCAAUCCCCUGGGCCUGCACUGACGCUCAUGCACGAAAGCGUGGGGAGCAAACAGGAUUAGAUGCCCUGGUAGUCCACGCCCUAAACGAUGUCAACUGGUUGUUGGGGAUUUUUUGCUCAGUAACGAAGCUAACGAGUGAAGUUGACCGCCUGGGGAGUACGGCCGCAAGGUUAAAACUCAAAUGAAUUGACGGG
rnacentral:rRNA from 1 species